GGCCCUCCUGGCAGUGCCCACCUACCUAACACCUCUCCCAACCCCAUGCCUAGGGCCCAGAACUUUCCAGGAAAUGGCUGCAGAGCCUCAUGUCUGCGGGGUCCCAAAUGCUACAGUGGUCAUGAUGGGGGAUGGGAGGUGUGUGGAAGGAUAGGUCAGAGAGACCACAGUCACUGGACCAGAAAAGCAUGUAGGUCAUGCCUUGGCUGUGAGGGGAGGGGCAGGAGCUGGCCUGGGUUCUAGGCCUUCUGUGGCUGCCAAUUAGGGCGGUGACAGGCCCAGCUUCUGCAAAACCAGCCUGUUACCCAGACACGUAUGUAGGCAACAGGGAGAGGGCACAGCCUGCCACUUGGGAAGUCAUCCUCUGCCUGUGGUAGCUCUUUAUCCCAACGACCCCAACCCCAAAGCCAGGCCUGGGCCAGGGGCAGGGAGGAGGGUGGGGCAGGGAGUGCUGACUCCCUGGGAAAACACCCACCCGUCCUGAAAGCAAGCUCCCUUCAGGGUCUGCUCUGGGUCCGGCACAGCCCAGGAUCUCAGGACAGGGUCAUAUGUUGCUCAUCAGCCCUCUUGUCCCUGAGGCUGUUUCCAAAAGGACUGAGUAUGGGGGUGAACAGUGAGGGGGAGCGGUCUCAAGAGGUCCUUCAUCACCCCACAGGUCCCAAAGCCAGCCAGGGUCAGAGCCACUGCAGAACCCGGGGGUCCAGGCCCAGCACCGACUGACCCCCUACCCCAGUCACUGUCCCACUUGCCUAACGGCAUCCCCGGAGCCUGUCACAAAGUAGGCAAGACCAGACACACUCCAUGUGUGGCACCCGUGGGUGGUACGGUUCUGGUCAGUCGACUGGGCGAAAAAAGGUGAAAGGCAGCCUGGCCUUGGUAAGAAGAGAGGAGGAAGAAGUGGGGUCCCAAGGUCUAGGCAGGAUUUCUAUCUAUCUGGUGCACCCUCCCUCCUGGCCUGGCUGCACAGGAAGUGCUGAGGAGCUACUGUACUCGAGAACAGGUCAGCCUGACCACUCGGUCCCGCGUUCAUCCCUGUCCAGCCGUCCUGCCUGCCAGCAGCUCUGAGCAGGGAACCCGUGGGUCUGAGAGAUGAUGAGCCCAGAUGCAGCCUCUCUGACCAUCCCCCCAGUGUCAGACCGACCCCCACACAUUCAGCUCAAGAUGCUUGUCGCCCACCACACCCCCCCCACACACUAAUGCGUGCACACACACACAGACACUGCAUGGUGUGGAGUGUAUACCACCUACUGUAUACACACCCCCUACAGUGCUCAUGGGCACACAGGCACGCACACAGGCACACACAGUCCGCUGUGCACCCCGUGCUGUACAUGUAGCACGUAAGGCACACACCCGCUGCACUAACACCAUGCCACGCACCUCACACAAUGCCUUACCCAGGCACACAGGGCACCCACAGCACACGCAGGGUGCCUGUCAUCUGCUGCAUCCAUGAUCACAAGGCAAACGCUGCCACCUGCACUCUGAGCCGGGCCCCUCCGGGACAGAGUCAGAAACAGCCCAUUCCUGCUCUUGGGCUCACCCGCUCCCCCCCCCCCAAGUCCUCCACCUCUCCCCCUCCCCUUCCAUCGCCCUCCAGAACCUACCCAAGUCACCAGGGCCCUGCCCACAUCUCUGCUGUCUGGCCUCCUCCGGGGCUUUCCUGACCACUGUCCUGCCUGGCUUGGAACCCACUGGCUCAGCUGAAUCGUAACCUCCAGAAUGAGCUCUAAGACCCUCACUCCCCCCACCUCCUGGAGGGAAAGGCCAAGAAGCAAAGCCUGCCUCCCCUCCCCCUCCCUCCAGAGGGAAAAUGUCAGAUUCUCUGUCUCAGUGGCGGCAGCGGGCGGGUUGGAGGGGGAGUGAUUCAGCCGCUGCCUCAAGAGUGCGGAGUGAGAAGAGCUUUUCCUGCCAUUACCGGGCGAGGGAGAGGCUGGCGCGCUAAUGGCUUCAAUUACCACUCAGACAGGAACACUGGGCGGCAGGGCCCUGUGCUCGUCACAGCCUGGACAGGCUCACCCCCAGUCAGCUUGUGCUGGGCACCCCUACCCCGUCCACAGCCAUGGGUGUGGGGGGAGGGCAGGCAGCCGGCUGCACACCACAGGGCAGCUGGGGCACAUUGGGCCACACCUGGUCACACGGGGAGUGGCAGUCCUGUCAGGGAGCUGGGUGCAAAGGCCGGGACCAGGGAGAGGCUCAGGGAGCCUUAGGCAGUGUGGGGUGUUUCCCGAGCCACGUAUGGGGGAGGCUGGGCCUGUUGCAGAACAACACAGGACAGGGGGGAACAGGACCAGACUUGCAGGCCUGGGCUCCCUUUGGGGGGUACACCAAUUCCUCCCCUGAGCCAGGUCACCGCAGGCGGCCCUCAGCCACUCCUCUGAAAAGCCCAAUGAGCAGUAAGCAUGACCGUGUACUGGUGCUUUUGGCCUACACGCAGUGUGUGACACCGGAAGAGGACUCCACUCUUAUUCCUGUCCCCCAAACCAGCUUCAUCCUCACCCCAGGCUUCCUGAGAACCUGUGGUGGCCUCCCGGAUCGGCCCUGGCUCUCCUCCCAGUCACACUAUCCUUUCUCCCUGCUCCCUCCACACCCCCAACUUUCCAGGCCUGCACAGGAGGGCAGGGAGGGGUGGGAUGGUCGCUGUCUGGGCUGCUUCCUCCUGGUCCCACCUCCUGGCCCCUUUGAGGCCUCCUACUCCACUCCUUUCUGCCAAGCCAGGAGCCUGGUCAAGGUUACACAGACCAACACGGUAAGUCAGCAUUUCAUCUUCCUGGAUGGGUGUUUCAGGAGGAGGAGGGGCUCAGAGCUCCGCCCUCACAGGGGACAGGAGCACAAGCAGGGCAGGGACCUGCCCCACACUCACCACGGACCUCCUCCCAUAGCCCAGAAACACAUACAAACCCCAGACCCCUGCUAGAGAAACCUUCAUUCAAGAAUGCCCCUCAGGAUGGAGGGGGUCCCUCCAAGUCUGAAUCCCCUCACUUUCCAAGCCUGAAAGACCAGCUGUAUCCUCCCCAAUCCUUUAAAAAACAAAGCUGUCCAGGGCAGUGGUGGGGUUAGGAGAGUGCCCAUAAAGGAACAGGGGCAUAGAAGCUCUUGCAGGGGCCGGGGGGGGGGGGGCACGGGGAGUGGAGAGGGGUGGAUUUCUCUUUCAACACUAACCCAGAGGUCCUCUUUCUUCAACAUGACAGUCUCAGAAGAUGCCCUCUUGGGCAGGAGCCACAGUUCUGGCCCUUCAGCCAGAUGCCUGGAUGCCAGGGUAGGACAGAAGGCUCCCCGCUGGGGCAGAUGCCAACAGGAGGGAAGGCAAGGCUGAACUACUUGUCCUCUGGUUAGAGGACAGAAACUGAGCUCAGGGCACUUGGCAACCAGUGGUCCUGGCCCAAUGCCUGUCCUCUGGGGCCCUGCUCCCCAGGGGAGUCCCCUCCAUGGGAAUGGACCAUGGGGCCGCAUCACCUGGAUGAUGCCAUGGGAGCCAGGUACCUCCAGGAUGUACAACUUCCAGCACAAUAGCAGCUACCGUUCACUGGAUCCUGCAAAUUCCAAGCAAGAGGACAAAGGCAUGCUGAGUGCUGCCUGGAAGAGCCCCAGCACCUCUCAGACUGGUCCCUCCCCCACUGCUCUCCAUCUGGGGGAUGGUACCUCCAUCUACCCCAAGGCUCAAGCCAGAAACCGUGAUUCCUCCUCUCUCAGCCCCCACAUACCAGCAGUCCUGAAAGGCCUAGACAUUCCACCUCUUUAAGUGUCUCUGGACGUCUUCCCAGGCCAAUGAACAGUUCCAGAAAGGCUAAUACCGUGAGAAAUGACCUUUCAGACCACCUGCUCAGUACCAAUGAGCCCAGGCCUGACCUGAUCUCUGGCACAGAAACACGUGUGUGCAGUGAUGACCAUCCCUCGCUAAGCACCCACUCCGCACCAGACGUGAAAGACAAUGUUUAAAUGCUGCUGGGAAGGAGGAAGCAGACAGGGAGAGCGUGCCGACCCAGGAUCCAGUGGACAGUGAUGGGUGCAGUCCUGCAGGAGGGGAGGGUCCGGGGACCAGCGGGGUCAGCAGUUACAGAGUAAGAGGGCUUAGCCUUGCAGCGAGCAGGAAGGGAACCACUUUAUCCAGCACCCAGGGGCCCGGCAGGCUCUGCAAGUUUUAUGUAAUUUUUACGCAAGUCACUCAUCAUCUCUGAGCCUCUGUUUUCUCAUUUGCAAAAUGGUGGCAGGGCCCACGGGUCUGUGUGGACAGAAUGUGAUGAGGGCUGUCGAGGGCGUGCACAGGCAUGACGGUUGGUGGGUCCUGUGUGGGAGGCAGCUGCUGCUGUUUAAGACUUGAAGUCUUAAAACAAUGAUGUGGGGGCACCUGUGUGGUUCAGUCAGUCAUGAUCUCACAGGUUUUGGCUCAGGUCAUGAUCUCACAGGUUCGUGACUCAAGCCUCAUGUUAAGCUCUACGCUCAGCGCAGCACUUGCUUGGGACUCUCUCCCUCUCUCUCUGCCCCUCCCCUGCUUGCUCGUGCACGCGCUCU